AUUGAACGCUGGCGGCAGGCCUAACACAUGCAAGUCGAGCGGAGCGGCGGACGGGCGAGUAAUGCCUAGGAAUCUGCCUGGUAGUGGGGGAUAAAGUCCGGAAACGGGCGCUAAUACAGCAUAAUAGCAGACGGGUGUAGGUCGGAUUAGCUAGUUGGUGGGGUAAGGGCCUACCAAGCUGACGAUCCGUAACUGGUCUGAGAGGAUGAUCAGUCACACUGGAACUGAGACACGGUCCAGACUCCUACGGGAGGCAGCAGUGGGGAAUAUUGGACAAUGGGCGAAAGCCUGAUCCAGCCAUGCCGCGUGUGUGAAGAAGGUCUUCGGAUUGUAAAGCACUUUAAGUUGGGAGGCGUUACCAACAGAAGAAGCACCGGCUAACUUCGUGCCAGCAGCCGCGGUAAUAC
rnacentral:rRNA from 1 species